CACGUAGGGCGCGAGCGUUGUCCGGAAUUAUUGGGCGUAAAGAGCUCGUAGGCGGCCUGUUGCGUCCGCUGUGAAAGCCCGGGGCUUAACCCCGGGUCGGCAGUGGAUACGGGCAGGCUAGAGGUAGGUAGGGGAGAAUGGAAUUCCCGGUGUAGCGGUGAAAUGCGUAGAUAUCGAGAGGAACACCUGCGGCGAAGGCGGGUUGCUGGGCUGACACUGACGCUGAUGUGCGAAAGCUAGGGGGAGCGAACGGG
rnacentral:rRNA from 1 species